rnacentral:misc_RNA from 1 species
UGUAGGAGCGAGCUUGCUCGCGAUAAAUAUUCCAGGCCAUACAUCGGUUGCGGCCGGACAUUUCUAUCGCGAGCAAGCUCGCUCCUACA